rnacentral:rRNA from 1 species
UACGUAGGGUGCAAGCGUUAAUCGGAAUUACUGGGCGUAAAGCGUGCGCAGGCGGUUUUGUAAGUCUGAUGUGAAAUCCCCGGGCUCAACCUGGGAAUUGCAUUGGAGACUGCAAGGCUAGAGUGUGUCAGAGGGGGGGUAGAAUUCCACGUGUAGCAGUGAAAUGCGUAGAUAUGUGGAGGAACACCGAUGGCGAAGGCAGCCCCCCUGGGAUAACACUGACGCUCAUGCACGAAAGGCGUGGGGAGCAAACGAGGAUUACGAAACCCCAG